UUUGCUUCUAAUAUUUCUCGAUGUGUUAAAGAUGGAAAGAUCUCCGGUCUCAAGACUCAUGAUUGUCAUGUGUUGUUGCAAAGACUUCUUCCGGUGGUAAUUCGACCUUACUUAAGUAGAGAGGUUGCAGACUGAUAUUGUGGUGAUACUAUGUAAACUUGAGCAAAUCUUCCCACCUGCUUUUUUUGAUGUUAUGGUGCAUUUGGAUGUGCAUCUACCGCAUGAGGCAUUACUUGGUGGGCCAGUUCCUAUGAGAUGGAUGUUUCCAAUUGAGAGGAAGUUGGGAAAUCUGAAGGAUUAUGUACGUAAUAAAGCACAUCCUGAAGGCUCCAUCGCUGAAGGAUAUAUUGCAGAAGAAUCAUUAACCUUUUGUUCCAUGUAUCUCAAAGAUGUUGAGACAAGUUUCUCACGACCAGAGC